CUGAAAACAAUCGUAGGAAGAUGAGACAAUAAGGAAUCUAUGGCCCCUUUCCUUCCUCUUUCUUUUCUGGAAACAUUGAAGAUAUGAACAAGUUCAUGCAGGAGGAGAAGAGCCCAACAGGGCCGGUAUCACAUGAUUACUCUAUCUCUCCACAUCUUGAUCACUGGAGGAAGAAUUAUGGGCCAGUGUAUAUGUACGCUAUGGGAAAUGCACCUAUAAAUAUAAUGCAUGUAGAAAGCUUCUGUAGAAAGUUUCUGUUGCGACCAUUCUUGUGAUUGGGUGAUCAGCUUCUGUUGGAGAUGUAGAAAGAUUCUAGAUUGAAAUUUCUUCAAUGAGCUUCUGAGGUACUAUCAUGCCGAUUGGAGAAGUAUUAGUGGUGGAUGUUUUGAUAAGUUUGGAUUGAUCUCUGAUGUUGCUUAUAAUUAAUCAUUUGAUUUUAAUUGACAUAUAUAUUCUUUUUGGGAAUUUGUGUUGUUUAUGAAGGAUUUGUUUGUUGAUAUUAUUGAUUAAAUCAAAUUUCGUUGUGAA